AAUAGAUACCCCGGUAGUCCACGCCGUAAACGAUGAGUGCUAGGUGUUGGGGGGAUCGCCCCCUCGGUGCCGAAGUUAACACAUUAAGCACUCCGCCUGGGGAGUACGGUCGCAAGACUGAAACUCAAAGGAAUUGACGGGGACCCGCACAAGCAGUGGAGUAUGUGGUUUAAUUCGAAGCAACGCGAAGAACCUUACCAGGUCUUGACAUCCCUCUGACCGGUCUAGAGAUAGGCCUUCCCUUCGGGGCAGAGGAGACAGGUGGUGCAUGGUUGUCGUCAGCUCGUGUCGUGAGAUGUUGGGUUAAGUCCCGCAACGAGCGCAACCCUUGAACUUAGUUGCCAGCACCUCGGGUGGGCACUCUAGGUUGACUGCCGGUGACAAACCGGAGGAAGGCGGGGAUGACGUCAAAUCAUCAUGCCCCUUAUGACCUGGGCUACACACGUACUACAAUGGCCGGUACAACGGGUCGCGAAGCCGCGAGGCGGAGCUAAUCCUACCAAAGCCGGUCUCAGUUCGGAUUGCAGGCUGCAACUCGCCUGC
rnacentral:rRNA from 1 species